rnacentral:lncRNA from 10 species
GUGGCUGAGUAAAGACAGAUUGACAGGGUCUUGGCCACUGCCCUUCGCGGGCCGGGCUUCCUCCUUCUGUAACCUUCUGUGCCGGGGAGGAUAUUUGCAUUUAAGCAGAAAGUGUUUCAGGCUCUGCAGAGGUGACACUGGCGUGUUUCUGCACUCAGGGUGCCCUUCCUGCCUUUUCCUCCCGGACACAGAGUCACAAGUGUGCACAGGGAAUGACAGACUCGGCGUCCAGUGGAGCCAUCCCCUGGCCUCGGAGUAGGAGGCGCGCCCAGGCCAGGCCAGACCACAGUGUAACAGGAGGGAGGAGGGCUUGCUUCUUUCAGGCAAGAAAAUUAAAACGGACAAAGAAAUAAAAGUAUUAAAUGUAUAGGAAAAACUGGAGUUUUUAUGACAGCGAUCAUCUAUAAAGAAACCAAGAGAAGUAAGCAAACAUUUGAACUAGCUCAGACAAGCAGCCUGCUUCACCCGCAGUUCACAAGGAAAACCCACAAUCAUAACGUUAAAAAUAUUCCCAAGCGCCGGGCGCGGUGGCUCACGCCUGUAAUCCCAGAACUUUGGAAGGCCAAGGUGAGAAAAUUGCUUAAGGUCAGGAGUUCAAGACCAGCCUAACCAACAUGGUGAAACCCCAUCUCUACUAAAAAUACAAAAAUUAGCCAGGCGUGGUGGCAGGUGCCUGUAAUCCCAGCAACUCGGGAAGCUGAGGUACGAGAAUCGCUUGAACCUGGGAGGGGGAAGUUGCAGUGAGCCGAGAUAGCGCCAUUGCACUCCAGCCUGGGCGACAGAGCGAGACUAAAAAAUGAAAUAUGAAAUGAAAUGAAAUAAUGAAAUGAAGAAAUGAAAUAUAAAAUAAAAUAAUCCCAAGCUUGGGACCCAGACUCUAACUGCUGAAAUGGAACCCCAGUGUGGAUCAGAACCUGGUGAUGAGACAGGGACACUUAAGAAUUCAACUUUGGGAGCUCAAGGUGCCCUCCAGUCCUCUCCUCACAGUGUGGAAACACUCUUUCCUUCAAAACCUUCAUUUGUACCAGCAGGAAACUCUCACCCGGAGUCAAUGUAAAGUCGUGACCUAAAUAAAUUGUCAUGUUCCCAAACCUUUUCUCCAGGGGACAAUGCAAACAAGUUUUUCACUGAGUCUGACCCUCACAGAUUUUCUUCAUGUAUACAAAUUACAGCCUGACUCAGCGACCCCAUGAAUGCUAAAACCAAAACACUGUCCAGGAAAUGGCCCCAGGCGCCAAAGGUACAACCUCAGAAAAGACAGAACCCUCCACCCCCAACCCAACCACAUCUGCACAUGGGUCUCCUGCUUUUCACAGCUCUGCAGCUUCUCAGAAUCCACAUUCCUGGCCAGGCGCGGUGGCUCACGCCAGCACUUUGAGAGGCCCAGGCGGGCGGAUCACCUGAGGUCAGGAGUUCGAGACCAGCCUGGCCAAAUGGUGAAACCUCGUCUAUAGUAAAAAUACAAAAAUUAGCCGGGCGUGGUGGCGCGUGCCUGUAAUCCCAGCCACUCGGGAGGCUGAGGCAGGAGAACCGCUUGAACCCGGGAGGCAGAGGUUGCAGUAAGCCCAGACUGCGCCACUGCACUCCAGCCUGGGUGCCAAAACAGUGAGACUCUGCCUCAAAAAAAUAAUAAAAGUAAAAAAUAAAAUUAAAAUUAAAAAAAGAAUCUGCACUCCUGAGCAGCUGGAGGCCACCUGCAAGGGCGGGCAGGCUGCCCAAGAAGCACCCUUUCCCUCUCUUUGCAGGCUCCAGACUGGUCUCAGGCUCUCCUGCCCACUGCAGUUUAUUCACUUGCUUCUCACCAACACUGAUCCACUUAGAACUCUAAUGUGAUCGUGGGUCAUAAGACUCUCACUCCAAAGAGUGUCCUGUCCUGUACGCUGGGGAAAGGAAUGCUACACAGAAGCCAAAAAUUAUCUGGACAGGGGUUGGAUGCAGUGGUUCACGCCUGUAAUCCCAGCACUUUGGGAGGCUGCGGAGGGAGGAUUGCUCGAGCCCAGGAAUUCAAGACCAGCCUGGGAAAGAUGUCGAGACCCCAUCUCUAUGAAAAAUAAAUAAAAAGGCCGGACGCGGUGGCUCAUGCCUAUAAUCCCAGCACUUCAGGAGGCUGAGGUGGGCGGAUCAUGAGGUCAAGAGAUCGAGACCCUCCUGGCCAACAUGGUGAAACCCCCGUCUCUACUAAAAAUACAAAAAUUAGCUGGGCGUGGUGGCGCGUGCCUGUAGUCCCAGCUACUUGUAGUCCCAGCUACUUGGGAGGCUGAGCCAGGAGAAUCACUUGAACCCAGGAGGCA